rnacentral:sRNA from 1 species
CUCUGACCUCCACCUGCACACACAUUCACGUACUCAGCUGAUCAGAACAGUGCUAACUGGGAUGUAUUUAGCACUUAGGCGCUGAGUGUUAACGACAAUGCUUUGCUGUGGGCUUCCUAGCUGUUGUGCACUUUGGAAACAUUGUUAUCAACAAUCUGCUCGACAGUUUUUAUGAGGUAGACAUUAUUAUUAUCCUAAUUUAAGGCAACAGACUCAGAGAGUGGUUAAAUAGUCUAAGAUUAAUAAUUAAUUUAAGACAAGGAAAAAGAGUAGGCGUUUGACUCCAGCAUCAGCCAAGAGCACAAGAUUGGAGAGAUAAGACAGGUCCUCAGAGGGGAAAGAAUGGAGACAUCGGAUGCCAAAAAUGACCGCACUGUUUUACCUCCAUUUGCCCAGAGAGUCCUUCAAGGGAUUCUACCCUAGGAAUUGAACCCAGGAAGGCUCCGCCAUUGAGAAACACUCAUACAUGCGUGACGGUGACCCUGAAGAACUUGCUCUGAGAGACUCAGGCUAAAGCGUUUCAAGGCCAGGUUCACACAAUGAAUCAGAUAGAGAGGCUGGGAAAGCCACUGAUGUGGGCUUAGUUCAUAAAUACAAUACCUGGAAAUCA